CCAACAGCUCAUCCUCAGGGGACAAGAAGAGGAAGAAGAAGGGGAAAGGGAGAAAGAAGCUAUCCAAGAGGGUUAAAAUGGAAAAAACACUGCAAAGAGCCCGGAAUCCCGAGCAGGCUUUGGCCCGGUACAAAAAGAUUCUUAAAUGCUACAAGAGGCUUGGAACCAUGUCUGGGGCAUUUCGAAAGGUCGGUGUUGACCGUAAUACAGUGGUGGUCAAUGCACCAAUCGCCGAGCUUUCCAUUGCUGCCCCAGACCAGUACAAGGAAGCUUUGAAAACGUAUACCCAUUCCACAAAAUUGAAAGCAUUUGCGGAACACUGUGCCUUGACAAUUCUAGGCGAUGUAGAAAUAGUUGACGCAGUCAACACGCUUAAAGCCAGUGGUAAGCUGCUACCACUGAAAAAGAAAUAAUUAUGUGCAUUUUGUAUUAUGCUUUACAAGUGUUCCUGUAAAGUAAUUUUUACAUUUUCUGUACAAUACCACUGUUCAUAUUUUAUCUGUAUUUUUUUGUUGUGUGUUCUUUGUUGAAAAGAAGAAUUUAUGUAGUUUAAAAUAAAUAUUUGUACGUUUUCAGCACUUCA